UCCCAUAUAGUCAAGCUGGCUAGAAAAGCUGGCUCUCACCCGAGCAUACCCGGGUUCGAGUCCAGAGGGUGGGAA